GGUUUCGUAGUUCAACGGAUAGAAUAGAAGUUUCCUAAACUUUAGAUGCAAGUUCGAUUCUUGCCGAGACCA
rnacentral:tRNA from 1 species